rnacentral:rRNA from 1 species
GUGCCAGCCGCCGCGGUAAUACCGGUGGCUCGAGUGGUGGCCGCUAUUAUUGGGUCUAAAGGGUCCGUAGCGGCCUGAUAAAGUACCUGGGAAAUCCGGUGGCCUAACCAUCGGCGGCCAGUAAUACUAUCAGGCUCGGGACUAGGAGAGACCAGAGGUACUCAUGAGGGUAGAGUGAAAUCCUGUAAUCUUAUGAGGACCACCAGUGGUGAAGACGUCUGGUUAGAAUAGGUCCGACGGUGAGGGACGAAGGCUGGGGGCGCAAACCGGAUUAGAUACCCGGGUAGUCCCAGCAGUAAACGAUGCCAGCUAUGUGUUGCUGGAACCAUGGGUUCCAGCAGUGCCGAAGGGAAGCCGUGAAGCUGGCCACCUGGGAAGUACGGUCGCAAGGCUGAAACUUAAAGGAAUUGGCGGGGGAGUACCACAACCGGUGGAGCCUGCGGUUUAAUUGGAUACAACGCCGGGAAUCUUACCGGAGGGGACAGCAGUAUGAAGGCCAGGCUAAAGACCUUGCCAGAUCAGCUGAGAGGAGGUGCAUGGCCGUCGCCAGUUCGUACCGUGAGGCAUCCUGUUUAGUCAGGCAACGAUCGAGACCCGCAGUCUUAUUUGCCAGCAUGCCCUUUGGGGUGUAUGGGUACAAUAAGACGACCGCCAGCGCUAAGCUGGAGGAAGGAGCGGGCUACGGU